GCAGCAGCCGCGGUAAUACGAAGGGGGCUAGCGUUGCUCGGAAUGACUGGGCGUAAAGGGCGCGUAGGCGGCGGCCAAAGUCAGGCGUGAAAUUCCCGGGCUCAACCUGGGGGCUGCGUUUGAUACUUGGUUGCUUGAGUGGGGAAGAGGGUCGUGGAAUUCCCAGUGCAGAGGCGAAAUUCGUAGAUAUUGGGAAGAACACCGGUGGCGAAGGCGGCGACCUGGUCCUUUACUGACGCUGAGGCGCGAAAGCGUGGGGAGCAAACAGGAUUAGAUACCCGUGUAGUCCCUGUCUCUUAUAC
rnacentral:rRNA from 1 species